UACCAGCACCCCGAGUGGUCGGGACGAUUAUUGGGCCUAACGCAUCCGUAGCCGGUCAUGCAAGUCUUCCGUUAAAUCCAGCCGCUCAACGGUUGGGCUGCGGAGGAUACUACGUGGCUAGGAGGCGGGAGAGGCAAGCGGUACUCAGUGGGUAGGGGUAAAAUCCUUUGAUCCAUUGAAGACCACCAGUGGCGAAGGCGGCUUGCCAGAACGCGCUCGACGGUGAGGGAUGAAAGCUGGGGGAGCAAACCGG
rnacentral:rRNA from 1 species